GCCGUCGUAGCAUAGUGGCAUUGCGCCAGUCUUGUAAACUGGAGGUCGGUGGUUCAAUUCCGCCCGACGGCA